AGCGAACGCUGGCGGCAGGCCUAACACAUGCAAGUCGAACGAACUCUUCGGAGUUAGUGGCGGACGGGUGAGUAACACGUGGGAACGUGCCUUUAGGUUCGGAAUAACUCAGGGAAACUUGUGCUAAUACCGAAUGUGCCCCCCGAUUCAUUUUGGGGUGGGAAAGAUUUAUCGCCUUUAGAGCGGCCCGCGUCUGAUUAGCUAGUUGGUGAGGUAAAGGCUCACCAAGGCGACGAUCAGUAGCUGGUCUGAGAGGAUGAUCAGCCACAUUGGGACUGAGACACGGCCCAAACUCCUACGGGAGGCAGCAGUGGGGAAUCUUGCGCAAUGGGCGAAAGCCUGACGCAGCCAUGCCGCGUGAAUGAUGAAGGUCUUAGGAUUGUAAAAUUCUUUCACCGGGGACGAUAAUGACGGUACCCGGAGAAGAAGCCCCGGCUAACUUCGUGCCAGCAGCCGCGGUAAUACGAAGGGGGCUAGCGUUGCUCGGAAUUACUGGGCGUAAAGGGAGCGUAGGCGGACAUUUAAGUCAGGGGUGAAAUCCCGGGGCUCAACCUCGGAAUUGCCUUUGAUACUGGGUGUCUUGAGUAUGAGAGAGGUGUGUGGAACUCCGAGUGUAGAGGUGAAAUUCGUAGAUAUUCGGAAGAACACCAGUGGCGAAGGCGACACACUGGCUCAUUACUGACGCUGAGGCUCGAAAGCGUGGGGAGCAAACAGGAUAGAUACCCUGGUAGUCCAGGGCGAAUAUCUACAUUGGGCUGCAGCCCGGGGGAUCCACUAGUUCUAGAGCGGCCGCACGCGGGAGGUCCUACUACAUCAUAUAAUGAGUCGUAUUACGCCGCCUCACUGCGUCUUUUUCACAG
rnacentral:rRNA from 1 species